rnacentral:rRNA from 1 species
UACGAAGGGUGCGAGCGUUGUUCGGAAUUACUGGGCGUAAAGGGUUUGUAGGCUGAAAUGUAAGUCAAGUGUGAAAUCCCCGAGCUAAACUUGGGACGUGCAUUUGAAACUGUGUUUCUUGAGUAUCGUAGAGGGUGGUGGAAUUGUAGGUGUAGGAGUGACAUCCGUAGAGAUCUGCAGGAACAUCAGAGGCGAAGGCGACCACCUGGCCGAUUACUGACGCUGAGGAACGAAAGCGUGGGGAGCAAACAGGAUUAGAUACCCUGGUAGUCCACGCCGUAAACGAUGAUAACUAGGUGUUGGAAGAAUUGACCCUUUCAGUACCGUAGCACACGCGCUAAGUUAUCCGCCUGGGGAGUACGGCCGCAAGGCUA